GUACAGAAGAAGCGUCACACUACCACCAGGGUCAUAAAAAUACUCCUGGAAAUGCCCCAAACUCCUACGAAAGCCUUGUCAAAUAUGUGUUUCCUAGGUUCAUGGUACAGAAGAAGCGUCACACUACCACCAGGGUCAUAAAAAUACUUCUGGAAAUGCCCCAAACUCCUACGAAAGCCUUGUCAAAUAUGUGUUUCCUAGGUUCAUGGUACAGAAGAAGCGUCAAACUACCACCAGGGUCAUAAAACUACUCCUGGAAAUGCCCCAAACUCCUACGAAAGCCUUGUCAAAUAUGUGUUUCCUAGGUUCAUGGUACAGAAGAAGGGUCACACUACCACCAGGGUCAUAAAAAUACUCCUGGAAAUGCCCCAAACUCCUACGAAAGCCUUGUCAAAUAUGUGUUUCCUAGGUUCAUGGUACAGAAGAAGGGUCACACUACCACCAGGGUCAUAAAACUACUCCUGGAAAUGCCCCAAACUCCUACGAAAGCCUUGUCAAAUAUGUGUUUCCUAGGUUCAUGGUACAGAAGAAGCGUCACACUACCACCAGGGUCAUAAAAAUACUUCUGGAAAUGCCCCAAACUCCUACGAAAGCCUUGUCAAAUAUGUGUUUCCUAGGUUCAUGGUACAGAAGAAGCGUCAAACUAUCACCAGGGUCAUAAAACUACUCCUGGAAAUGCCCCAAACUCCUACGAAAGCCUUGUCAAAUAUGUGUUUCCUAGGUUCAUGGUACAGA